rnacentral:lncRNA from 1 species
GUGAUCCUAACAGGUGGUGUGACGUAAAUUUAUGAAGCUGUUAGGAAAUCAGGAGAGAACUGGCUCUGAAAUACAUGUUUCCAGGCCUUUCUUUAAUGCUGAAAGGGCUUCAGCAGCUCUGAGCGACAGAAGGGGUCCAUUCCACUUCAUCAGAGUCAAAAACAGAAGUCACAGACUUUUGUAUGUGGAUCACUUAUGAGCAGGAGCGCCAAGCGGACGAAGGUGGAAAAGCGUGGGAAAUUGUUCAGUGGAAAUUGUUUGUUUCUCUUUUCCAGCAAACCCCCACUUCCGUGUGGACUCUGCGUCGGCCGAGGUCUUCCAGAGGGAGCUCUAUCUGGGCGAGCUAAUGACCGUUCCUGUCCCAGUGAAGCCACUCACCUGCUACCCUGACAGCUACCCAAUCCUUGCACUCCUGCUAAACCCACCCCUGGCAUGGCCCAAGGGCCUUGGAGACCUUGACCUUAGGUUUCCCCAAUUUCAGCCCUACACUGUUCCCAAUUCCAUUGACACUGGGCCUUCACAUGUGCGACCAGUCCCGCUGUUUAUCCACCCCAUUGGGUUCCCACCAGGUGUCCAGGAGGAGAUGAACCUGAGACACUUUCCUGGCCCUGCAUUCCACAUGGAUGGGGACAGGAGGACAAAUAAAACAGAUGUGCAACUUCAUAGCAGCCAAGAAUCCAACGACACCUCUGUGGAUAGUGACUUGUCCACUCAGAGCACUCUUUGAGGAUACAGCCAGAAGCUGUGAAUAUAAUUAAGUCUUUCGAAAAUAUGUAUGGUUUAAUGGUUUUUUGCUUUUCUCUGAG